GACGUAGGGCGCGAGCGUUGUCCGGAUUUAUUGGGCGUAAAGAGCUCGUAGGCGGUCUGUCGCGUCGGCUGUGAAAACCCGGGGCUCAACCCCGGGCCUGCAGUCGAUACGGGCAAACUAGAGUGUGGUAGGGGAGACUGGAAUUCCUGGUGUAGCGGUGAAAUGCGCAGAUAUCUGGAGGAACACCGGUGGCGAAGGCGGCAUCCUGGACCAAUACUGACGCUGAGGAGCGAAAGCCAGGGGAGCAAACGGG
rnacentral:rRNA from 1 species